rnacentral:rRNA from 1 species
AAUAGAUACCCGGGUAGUCCACGCCGUAAACGAUGAGUGCUAAGUGUUGGGGGGUUUCCGCCCCUCAGUGCUGCAGCUAACGCAUUAAGCACUCCGCCUGGGGAGUACGGUCGCAAGACUGAAACUCAAAGGAAUUGACGGGGGCCCGCACAAGCGGUGGAGCAUGUGGUUUAAUUCGAAGCAACGCGAAGAACCUUACCAGGUCUUGACAUCCCGGUGACCACUAUGGAGACAUAGUUUCCCCUUCGGGGGCAACGGUGACAGGUGGUGCAUGGUUGUCGUCAGCUCGUGUCGUGAGAUGUUGGGUUAAGUCCCGCAACGAGCGCAACCCUUAUUCUUAGUUGCCAUCAUUCAGUUGGGCACUCUAAGGAGACUGCCGGUGAUAAACCGGAGGAAGGUGGGGAUGACGUCAAAUCAUCAUGCCCCUUAUGACCUGGGCUACACACGUGCUACAAUGGACGGUGCAAACGGUUGCCAACCCGCGAGGGGGAGCUAAUCCGAUAAAACCGUUCUCAGUUCGGAUUGUAGGCUGCAACUCGCCUAC